AGAACGAACGCUGGCGGCAGGCCUAACACAUGCAAGUCGAACGCUCUCGCAAGAGAGAGUGGCGCACGGGUGCGUAACGCGUGGGAAUCUACCCUUGACUACGGAACAACGUCGGGAAACUGACGCUAAUACCGUAUAAUGACUCCGGUCCAAAGAUUUAUCGGUCAGGGAUGAGCCCGCGUUAGAUUAGCUAGUUGGUGAGGUAAUGGCUCACCAAGGCUACGAUCUAUAGCUGGUCUGAGAGGAUGAUCAGCCACACUGGGACUGAGACACGGCCCAGACUCCUACGGGAGGCAGCAGUGAGGAAUAUUGGACAAUGGGGGCAACCCUGAUCCAGCCAUGCCGCGUGAGUGAUGAAGGCCUUCGGGUUGUAAAACUCUUUUAGAUGUGACGAUGAUGACGGUAACAUCAGAAAAGCUCCGGCUAACUUCGCGCCAGCAGCCGCGGUAA
rnacentral:rRNA from 1 species